CAGAAACUGUGAUUUGGAUAUACGCUCCUGGCAAAAUACCAGCUAUAGAAACAUCUUGGGUUGUCAUGACAAGAUGUUUUCUGGCAAAUAAUGGACACACAAUAGACCCCUUCUGUAUUACGCUUGGACCAACAAACAAUAUUGCAGGCUGUAUCAUGUCUUCCACCUUGCCUGCUUCUCUGCUCCACACUGACUGAGAGAGAAUAUUGAGCUGGCAUCCCUGGCACGGCCGAGUUCAAGACAAGAAGCUCUCGUUUCACUGAUGGCAAGGUCUGACCAUCCCACUUCCCUGAAAACGCAGCACAAGCUGAUAGGUGGCUUCCUGCAUACACCUUGUCUGGCAUGCUAAACCACAGAGAAAUUUGAAGUCCCC